rnacentral:rRNA from 1 species
CGGCAGCGACUUAACUGAACCUUCGGGGGACGUUAAGGGCGGCGAGCGGCGGACGGGUGAGUAAUGGCUGGGAACCUGCCCUGACGUGGGGGAUAACAGUUGGAAACGACUGCUAAUACCGCAUGAUGUCUACGGACCAAAGAGGAGGACCUUCGGGCUUCUCGCGUCGGGAUGGGCCCAGUUGGGAUUAGUUAGUUGGUGAGGUAAUGGCUCACCAAGGCGACGAUCCCUAGCUGGUUUGAGAGGAUGAUCAGCCACACUGGAACUGAGACACGGUCCAGACUCCUACGGGAGGCAGCAGUGGGGAAUAUUGCACAAUGGGCGCAAGCCUGAUGCAGCCAUGCCGCGUGUGUGAAGAAGGCCUUCGGGUUGUAAAGCACUUUCAGCAGUGAGGAAGGUUACGUAGUUAAUACCUGCGUGAUUUGACGUUAGCUGCAGAAGAAGCACCGGCUAACUCCGUGCCAGCAGCCGCGGUAAUACGGAGGGUGCGAGCGUUAAUCGGAAUUACUGGGCGUAAAGCGCAUGCAGGCGGUUUGUUAAGCAAGAUGUGAAAGCCCCGGGCUUAACCUGGGAACCGCAUUUUGAACUGGCAGGCUAGAGUCUUGUAGAGGGGGGUAGAAUUUCAGGUGUAGCGGUGAAAUGCGUAGAGAUCUGAAGGAAUACCGGUGGCGAAGGCGGCCCCCUGGACAAAGACUGACGCUCAGAUGCGAAAGCGUGGGGAGCAAACAGGAUUAGAUACCCUGGUAGUCCACGCUGUAAACGAUGUCUACUUGGAGGUUGUGGCCUUGAGCCGUGGCUUUCGGAGCUAACGCGUUAAGUAGACCGCCUGGGGAGUACGGUCGCAAGAUUAAAACUCAAAUGAAUUGACGGGGGCCCGCACAAGCGGUGGAGCAUGUGGUUUAAAUUCGAUGCAACGCGAAG